UACAGAGGUCUCAAGCGUUGUUCGGAUUCAUUGGGCGUAAAGGGUGCGUAGGCGGCGCGGUAAGUCGGGUGUGAAAUCUCGGAGCUUAACUCCGAAACUGCAUUCGAUACUGCCGUGCUUGAGGACUGGAGAGGAGACUGGAAUUUACGGUGUAGCGGUGGAAUGCGCAGAUAUCAGGAGGAACACCGGUGGCGAAGGCGGGUCUCUGGGCAGUAACUGACGCUGAGGAGCGAAAGCGUGGGGAGCGAACAGG
rnacentral:rRNA from 1 species